AUGCUGGGGACCCUCUGCACUCUCAUCACUGCUCUAACAUAUGUUGAUGCAGUGAUCGUGCUGACUCAGACGCCUGCUGUCCACACAGUUUCUAUAGGACAAGAGGUUGUUCUCAACUGCCAUGCUGAAUCUGGAAAUUAUGUCCAUUGGUACAAACAGAUUCCUGGAGGAGUUCCUCAGUAUGUCCUGAGUUUUCAUCACUCUAACAGCGCUCCAAACUAUGGCUCUGGUUUCUCCUCUCCAAAGUUCACUUCUACUCAUCAGUCAACAGUAGAUUAUCGUUUGAUCAUCAACAAUGUGGAGGAGGGAGACUCAGCAGUCUAUUACUGUCAAACAUGGGACAGCUCUGCUAAGGAGCACGUAUCACAGUGAUUUACACUGUGACAAAAACCUCCUCACUAAUACUUCUGCUUUUUCAAUCUCUGACACAUCUUAACUGGGAAUCAAGUAAACAGUUGAUGCUUUCUCUAAUUUCCAUGCAAAUAUGUUAAAUAUAUUUUCUUAAAAUUCUGAACCCAACAAUCGAUGUCACAUAAAUCUGCAGAACUGUCUUAGUAGUAGUUGUGUAUUGUUCAAACAAGUCAAGUCAUGAUCUAUUAAACUGUAAACAUUUUAUAGUAAAUAUCUCUUGCUGCUCUUUACACAAUAUUGAAACUACAGAGGGUCUAUAACAACUACUAUGUUGCUGAUGUAAAUUCCCAGGAGGUUAUUGAUCGUGAAUGUUACCAUGCAGAGUGAUUAUUUUAGUUACACUUACUGUAAAUAAUAAUCUAACUGCACUAUUUCAACUCCCUCAGUUGGCCAAAGUUCAUCCUGCAGAUGAGAGCUGCAAGAACAACAAGUCUGUUGAAGUCAAGAUAAAACACAACUGAAAGAAAACCUAAAUUGACCUGCUAUCAUAUCAUCCAUUCCCAGAUUACUGAUGUGUUUCCAACAAAUUAAUCACAUGAAUCGUUAUUAAUAUGCAGCAUGCUCUCUUGGUGAGAGGACAAUUCAGAAAAGUGAUAAAACUGACAUAAGUAAUAAACAGUUAUGUUUACCAAUUAUUAAACACUGUCUACUGAACAUACUGUAAUAUAUUACUUUGAGAAAACAUGAACCUUGAAAUCAAUGAAAAUAUUUGAAGCAUGUAAUCA